GAUGAACGCUAGCUACAGGCUUAACACAUGCAAGUCGCGGGAGCGGCGCACGGGUGAGUAACGCGUAUCCAACCUGCCCUUCACCACGGGAUAACCCAGCGAAAGUCGGACUAAUACCGUAUGGUGAAUGCUGGGGAUGCGUCCGAUUAGCUUGUCGGCGGGGUAACGGCCCAUCGUGGCUACGAUCGGUAGUGGUUCUGAGAGUAAGGUCACCCACACUGGAACUGAGGCACGGUCCAGACUCCUACGGGAGGCAGGAGUGAGGAAUAUUGGUAAAUGGGCGUAAGCCUGAACCAGCCAAGUAGCGUGCAGGACGACGGCCUAUGGGUUGUAAACUGCUUUUAUGCGGGGAUAGGUACCGCAUGAAUAAGGACCGGCUAAUUCCGUGCCAGCAGCCGCGGUAAUAC
rnacentral:rRNA from 1 species